UGAACGCUGGCGGCGUGCCUAAUACAUGCAAGUCGAACGCACAGCGAAAGGUGCUUGCACCUUCAAGUGAGUGGCGAACGGGUGAGUAACACGUGGACAACCUGCCUCAAGGCUGGGGAUAACAUUUGGAAACAGAUGCUAAUACCGAAUAAAACUUAGUGUCGCAUGACACAAAGUUAAAAAGGCGCUUCGGCGUCACCUAGAGAUGGAUCCGCGGUGCAUUAGUUAGUUGGUGGGGUAAAGGCCUACCAAGACAAUGAUGCAUAGCCGAGUUGAGAGACUGAUCGGCCACAUUGGGACUGAGACACGGCCCAAACUCCUACGGGAGGCUGCAGUAGGGAAUCUUCCACAAUGGGCGAAAGCCUGAUGGAGCAACGCCGCGUGUGUGAUGAAGGCUUUCGGGUCGUAAAGCACUGUUGUAUGGGAAGAACAGCUAGAAUAGGAAAUGAUUUUAGUUUGACGGUACCAUACCAGAAAGGGACGGCUAAAUACGUG
rnacentral:rRNA from 1 species